rnacentral:snRNA from 1 species
UCAUGACUUAUUCUUUCG